rnacentral:rRNA from 1 species
AAUCAACGCUGGCGGCGCGCUUAACACAUGCAAGUCGCACGAGAAAGGGAGCAAUCCUGAGUAAAGUGGCGUACGGGUGAGUAACACGUGGGAAUCUACCUCUUGGCUGGGAAUAACCCUGGGAAACCGGGGCUAAUACCGCAUCAGCUCGUGAGAGGAAAGCAGCAAUGCACCGAGAGAGGAGCCCGCGGCCGAUUAGCUAGUUGGUGGGGUAAUGGCUCACCAAGGCGAAGAUCGGUAGCCGGCCUGAGAGGGCACACGGCCACACUGGCACUGAAACACGGGCCAGACUCCUACGGGAGGCAGCAGUGGGGAAUCUUGCACAAUGGGGGAAAACCUGAUGCAGCGACGCCGCGUGAGCGAUGAAGCCCUUCGGGGUGUAAAGCUCUUUCGACAGGAACGAUAAUGACGGUACCUGGAGAAGAAGCUGCGGCUAACUACGUG